AGAGUUUGAUCCUGGCUCAGAAUGAACGUUGGCGGCGUGGAUUAGGCAUGCAAGUCGUGCGAGAAUCUCCUUCGGGAGAGGACAGCGGCGAAAGGGAGAGUAACAGGUGGUUACAUACCCUCAGGUUCGGGAUAGUGUCGGGAAACUGACAGUAAUACCGAAUAACAUCUAAGGAUCAAAGGUGUGAUUCCGCCUGAGGAUUGGACCGCUUUCUAUUAGCUUGUUGGCGGGGUAAUGGCCCACCAAGGCUGCGAUGGAUACCGGGUGUGAGAGCAUGGCCCGGCUCACUGGGACUGAGACACUGCCCAGACACCUACGGGUGGCUGCAGUCGAGAAUCUUCGGCAAUGGACGAAAGUCUGACCGAGCGACGCCGCGUGCGGGAUGAAGGCCUUCGGGUUGUAAACCGCUGUCAGUUGGGAGGAAAUAUUAGGGGGUACUCCCCUUAAUUUGACCGAUCUUCAGAGGAAGGACGGGCUAAGUUCGUGCCAGCAGCCGCGGUAAGACGAACCGUCCAAACGUUAUUCGGUAUCACUGGGCUUAAAGCGUGCGUAGGCGGCCUGGUAGGUGAGAUGUGAAAGCCCACGGCUCAACCG
rnacentral:rRNA from 1 species